UACGAAGGGGGCUAGCGUUGUUCGGAAUUACUGGGCGUAAAGCGCGCGUAGGCGGAUUGUUAAGUCAGGGGUGAAAGCCCGAGGCUCAACCUCGGAAUUGCCUUUGAUACUGGCAGUCUUGAGACCGGGAGAGGUGAGUGGAACACCCAGUGUAGAGGUGAAAUUCGUAGAUAUUGGGUAGAACACCAGUGGCGAAGGCGACUCACUGGCCCGGUUCUGACGCUGAGGCGCGAAAGCGUGGGGAGCAAACAGG
rnacentral:rRNA from 1 species